GAGCCUGAGAAACGGCUACCACAUCCAAGGAAGGCAGCAGGCGCGCAAAUUACCCAAUCCCGACACGGGGAGGUAGUGACAAUAAAUAACAAUACCGGGCUCUUUCGAGUCUGGUGAUUGGAAUGAGUACAAUCUACAUCCCUUAACGAGGAUCCAGUGGAGGGCAAGUCUGGUGCCAGCAGCCGCGGUAAUUCCAGCUCCACUAGCGUAUAUUUAAGUUGUUGCAGUUAAAAAGCUCGUAGUCGGAUGUCGGGCGGCGCCCGCCGGUCCGCCGUCAGGCGUGCACCGGCGUGGCGCCGCCUGUGUGCCGGGGACGGGCGCCUGGGCUUGAUUGUCCGGGCCCCGGAGUCGGCGAGGUCACUUUGAGUAAAUUAGAGUGUUCAAAGCAGGCAGCCGCUCUGAAUACGCCAGCAUGGAAUGACGCGAUAGGACUCUGGCCUAUUCCGUCGGUCUGUGGGACCGGAGUAAUGAUGAACAGGGACGGUCGGGGGCAUUCGUAUUUCGCUGUCAGAGGUGAAAUUCUUGGAUUUGCGAAAGACGAACUUCUGCGAAAGCAUUUGCCAAGGAUGUUUUCAUUGAUCAAGAACGAAAGUCGGGGGCUCGAAGACGAUUAGAUACCGUCCUAGUCUCGACCAUAAACGAUGCCGACUAGGGAUCGGCGGGCGUUUCUUCGACGACCCCGCCGGCACCUCACGAGAAAUCAAAGUGUUCGGGUUCCGGGGGGAGUAUGGUCGCAAGGCUGAAACUUAAAGGAAUUGACGGAAGGGCACCACCAGGCGUUUGAUGCUCGGCUCUGGCGCCUGAGAGUGGCGGCCGCGAGGCCUGCCGCUAGUGGCCUCCUUCCUUCCGUGGGAAGGGAGGGGUCGCGACACUGUCAAAUUGCGGGGACCUCCUAAAGCUUCGGGUGCCAAGCCCGGCCCGGAAACGGGCGGGUGGCCGGGGAGAAACACCCCGGGCGCGGCGACAACCCCGGAGAUGGCACAAUGGACGACCCGCAGCCAAGUCCCUCCCCGAGCGGCGCUGCUCGAGGGGGGAUGCAGUCCACAGACUAGAUGGCAGUGGGCGGCGCACUCUGUGUUGAGCGAGAGUGCGUCGCUUAAGGUAUAGUCGGCCCCCGGCCGAGAGGCCGGCCCGUCGGAGGACCGCCGCUGCUGCCCCCCAAAAUGGGUGGACAGCGGCGCGAGAGCCGGCGGGGAGCGCAGUGUGCGCUCGGAAUCGCGGGAGCCUGCGGCUUAAUUUGACUCAACACGGGAAAACUUACCAGGUCCAGACAUGGCGAGGAUUGACAGAUUGACAGCUCUUUCUUGAUUCUAUGGGUUGACACGUGCGUCACACACCGCGCACCAACUGCCCGUCACAGUCGGGCGCGAAAGCGUCCGGCUAGUCCGACUCCUCUCCUGGCUGGGAGGCAGGCGGGCGAGGCCGUCAAAUUGCGGGGACGUCCUAAAGCUCGCACCGCCAAGCCCGGCGCGCGAUGACAAGCGCCCGGGCGGCCCCGGCCAACCACCGGGGGCAGGCAACAGCCGUGCGAGAUGCGACAAUGGACCAUCCGCAGCCAAGCGCCCUCCCUUCUUCGUGAGGAGGAGGGGUGAAGGUUCAGAGACUACAUGGCGG
rnacentral:rRNA from 1 species